AAAUAUUGUAAUUUAUGAUUUUUUUAUUUAAUUCUAAAAUUAUUUGAUUCCUAAUGACAUUGAACAGUUUUUCUCCUAUUUUGGCUAGUUUUUUAAUCAUCUUUUAUUAAAGCCUGUUUGAUAUGUUGCUUAUUAUCUACUAAUACAGUUAUUUAUUGAUUUGUGAGAGCUCUUUAUAUAUUCAGGAAAUCAACUAUUCUUUCAAAUAUGCCAUAACUUACUAUUUUAUUACUUGUCUUUUUAAAUAAGGAUAUUGGGGAUAGGACUAAGAACAAAGCACAUCUAACAAUAUGGAAAUAACCUAAUUCCUGAAAAACUACAAACUCAAUAACAUGGGUUUAUUUUUCCCCCCAAAAAAAUCGUAUGCCAUGAUACUUUAUUUGUGUUUUUUCUUACACAGUAACUUUGUUUUGGUGCCAGUUUUUUACAGUAAGAAUAAAGUCUUUCUGCUAUGAUUGGAGAGGCACAGGUGAGAGCUAAAAUGCUCUGAAGAGUAUUAGAUAGCUCUCUUUGGUCAAAAAUAUUAAAUAAUGCUUUUAUCCUCCAUAUGCCAUUUGAAAUAUAUAGUGGGAUUUAUUUUUUAUUUUACUUUUUUGAAGAAGUAAAAUUUACAUACAGUAAACUGCAAAGACCUUAGAUGUUUAAUUUGAUGAGUUUUGAGAAGUGUUGGCUUGGUUAUUUAUAUUCAAUAGCACUAGAAUUUGGGACACCUGGCUGGCUCAGUCAGAAGAGCAUGUGGCUCUUGAUCUCAGGGCUGUGAGUUUGGGCCCCACGUUGGCUGUAGAGAUUAAAAUAAAUAAGUAAACUUCAAAAGUUUUAGAAUUUUAUUAUUUUCUUUAACAGUUUGAACCUUCAGUUGUAUACUUAGACAAUCUUUUCACAUUCUGAAUGGCAGUCUCGGGCAUGUCCAUUUGUAAAGCCGCCGAGGGCUCUGGUGACAAGAAGGGCAGUGGCUGCAGACCUUCCAAGCCCCUAAAAGUACAAGGACAUGAAGAUAUGAACUUGAGAUGAAAUUCACCAGAGAAGAAUACUCCAAAUUUUAUGGCCUGAGUUCUUUUUCACAGGGGCCCCUCUAUGUGACCUGCUUAGGGUAAGUAUCAACAGGAAUUUACUAUUUAUUUAUAUAGUAGCUAUAUGUAUAUAAGAAUGUACUUACUAUCUGAUUA